rnacentral:rRNA from 1 species
AGGGAAUCUUCCACAAUGGACGAAAGUCUGAUGGAGCAACGCCGCGUGAGUGAUGAAGGGUUUCGGCUCGUAAAACUCUGUUGUUGGAGAAGAACAGGUGAUAGAGUAACUGUUAUCAUCUUGACGGUAUCCAACCAGAAAGCCACGGCUAACUACGUGCCAGCAGCCGCGGUAAUACGUAGGUGGCAAGCGUUGUCCGGAUUUAUUGGGCGUAAAGCGAGCGCAGGCGGUUUUUUAGGUCUGAUGUGAAAGCCUUCGGCUUAACCGGAGAAGGGCAUCGGAAACCGGGAGACUUGAGUGCAGAAGAGGACAGUGGAACUCCAUGUGUAGCGGUGAAAUGCGUAGAUAUAUGGAAGAACACCAGUGGCGAAGGCGGCUGUCUGGUCUGUAACUGACGCUGAGGCUCGAAAGCAUGGGUAGCGAACAGGAUUAGAUACCCUUGGUAGUCCAUGCCGUAAACGAUGAGUGCUAAGUGUUGGA